UACGAAGGGGGCUAGCGUUGUUCGGAUUUACUGGGCGUAAAGUGCACGUAGGCGGAUUGGUCAGUUAAGGGUGAAAUCCUGGAGCUCAACUCCAGAACUGCCUUUGAUACUGAGAAGCUUGAGUCCGGGAGAGGUGAGUGGAACUGCGAGUGUAGAGGUGAAAUUCGUAGAUAUUCGCAAGAACACCAGUGGCGAAGGCGGCUCACUGGCCCGGUACUGACGCUGAGGUGCGAAAGCGUGGGGAGCAAACAGGG
rnacentral:rRNA from 1 species